AGUAGACCCCGCUGGUAGGCGCGUAGACUCACGCCGGUGAAGAGACGGCCGCUCUCCAAACAACCCUUCCAAUGAGCCCGCGAGGUUGCCUCUCUGCUUAUAGCCGAGCUCUCAAACCCUUCUCCCGCGCUAUCUCAUGGAAGCCGACGGGGAGGCCGCAGCAAACCCUAAUCUCGGAAGUGUCGCGAUCGGGGACGGGCCUCCACUCCGGCGCCUCCACGACCGCGCGGCUCCUGCCCGCGAUGGCCGGCGAGGGGCGGUACUUCGUCUCCGGGCUCAGCCGGUCGAGGGUCCCCGCCAAGAUCGACCACGCCGUGGACUCCCCCCUCUGCACCACUCUUUGCGGCGAUGGGGCUAGGGUCCGGACCGUCGAGCACCUCCUCUCGGCUCUGGAGGCGUGUGGGGUCGAUAACUGCCGCAUCGAGAUCGAAAGCGGAGACGAGGUCCCUUUGUUAGAUGGUUCGGCAAAAGGAUGGGUUGAGGCGAUAGAACAAGUUGGGUUGUGUGCUGCAGAGAAUUCCUGUGGCCAUAAUAUGGAUAAACUAGCACCCGAGCUGCAUGAGCCUAUGUAUUUAAGGAGGAACGAUUCUUUUGUAGCUGCCUUCCCAUCCUCCAAAGUUCAGAUCACUUAUGGAAUAGACUUUCCAAAGGUGCCUGCUAUUGGUUGUCAGUGGUUCUCUUCUUUCUUGGAUGCCUCUAUAUACUUGAAAGAAAUAGCUUCUUCAAGAACCUUUUGCAUAUAUGAGGAGGUUUGGUUACGUCUUACUGCACCUGUAUCAGUGAUCUUAUUUUCAUCAUUGCUGCUAUUGCUUGUCUUCCUCUGUCUUGGUUACAUGAUAUAAUAUCAACAUUUUUACAUGGUGGCUGUAACUUCAGCGUUUUUUGUUUGCAUUCUUCGGGUUUGUCCUUGAAACCCAAAGAUGAAGGAGUGGAUUGAUUUCUGUGAGAAAAAAGCAGCAGAAUUGUAUCUAUUGAAAUAAGGGGCAUGUGAAGAAAAAGGUAUUCCUUUCUAUCAAGAAAAAAGAAAGGGACGGCCUUCCAAAAAACUAAGUAAGAGUGGAGUUGGCAGAAGCAGGCAUAAGAGGAGCCUAACAACAAUUUGUUAGAAAGAAAAUUCAUGCGGCAAGCCCAAGUAGAUGGAACAAAGGUUACCAAGAGAAUAGAUCAGAUGUGACGAGCGUAUCAUCGCCAUACUACGUUCUAUGGGCCAUAUGCAUCAUGUGUGUACUUGAGAUUGUCUGGAUGCUUUAAAUGCUGUCACGCCUAAGCCUCUUUCUAGAUGGCUGGUACAUGGGCAUCUUUUGAUUGCAAGAUAUUUUUAGAUUUGUCACUUUUUUUCCUACUUUCUAUCUCAAUCGACAGUCCUGCUUUCAAAAUGCAGACCUUGUUCUUCUCUCGACAACUUUUGGCAGAAUGCAUUGCUACUUUAUUGUUUCAAUUUCCGGUUUUUGUAGUAUUAAAUUCAGUUGUGGUUCUGCACUUUCAUUUAUUUCAUAAUAGUAUUUGAACAUUUUGAAUAUGCAAUGGUAAUACUGAUGUAUUUAAUCUAAAAUUUUCUCAUAUUAUCUCAUAUAUCAUGAGCUAUCUAUGUGCAUACAAAUUGUUUGUAGGUUGAAAGAAUGCGCAAUGCUGGGCUGAUUCAAGGAGGAUCAGCUGAAAAUGCCAUUGUUUGCAGCUUGCUUGAAGCCAAUUGGUGCUGACAUUAAACUCUGUGGGAUCUUCUCAUGUUGCCAAUGCUGGUUGGUUAAAUCCACCACUACGUUUUCAUGAUGAACCUUGUCGCCACAAAGUUUUAGAUCUUGUGGGGGACUUUUCUCUCUUUGCACAAAAUGGUAACCAAGGGCUUUUGCUUGCGC